GAACGCUGGCGGCAUGCCUUACACAUGCAAGUCGAACGGUAACAGGCCGCAAGGUGCUGACGAGUGGCGAACGGGUGAGUAACACAUCGGAACGUGCCUGAUAGGUGGGGAUAACUACUCGAAAGAGUAGCUAAUACCGCAUAAGAUCUCAGGAUGAAAGCAGGGGACCGCAAGGCCUUGCGCUAACAGAGCGGCCGAUGGCAGAUUAGGUAGUUGGUGGGAUAAAGCUUACCAAGCCGACGAUCUGUAGCUGGUCUGAGAGGACGACCAGCCACACUGGGACUGAGACACGGCCCAGACUCCUACGGGAGGCAGCAGUGGGGAAUUUUGGACAAUGGGCGCAAGCCUGAUCCAGCAAUGCCGCGUGCAGGAUGAAGGCCUUCGGGUUGUAAACUGCUUUUGUACGGAACGAAAAAGCUCUGGUUAAUACCUGGGGCCCAUGACGGUACCGUAAGAAUAAGCACCGGCUAACUACGUG
rnacentral:rRNA from 1 species